GACAGAGGUGCCGAGCGUUAGGCGGAAUCACUGGGCUUAAAGCGUGUGUAGGCGGACUUGUAAGUACCUUGUGAAAUCCCAUGGCUCAACCAUGGAACUGCUCGGUAUACUGCUUGUCUUGAGCCACUUAGGGGCAGUCGGAACAGAUGGUGGAGCGGUGAAAUGCGUAGAUAUCAGGAGGAACACCGGUGGCGAAGGCGGAUCUCUGGGCCUUACCUGACGCUGAGGAGCGAAAGCAUGGGGGAGCAAACAGG
rnacentral:rRNA from 1 species